GCACAACCAGUUGUUGAGUUGGACCCGGUUGCCGAGCGGCGGCGUGCUAAGGCCCGUGAGCAGCUAGACGCGAAACUGGCGGCCAUGGCAGCCAACGACGAAGACUGGGACGAUGACGACGGAAACGACGGCGGGGGGGUAUGAGAAAUGCACCCGCAUUUCGGCCUGGGUGUGGCAGCCUUCCGCUGCUGAUGCAC
rnacentral:rRNA from 1 species